rnacentral:misc_RNA from 1 species
UACCAGUAGCAGACAGAUAACCGCUGCUAGUCAGCUAUGUAUGCUCCGUUAUCUGCUAGCAAAACAUCCUGACUCAAGAACACCUUUACAGACGCUGGCAAAGAGUGGGUCACAACACACCUUACGAGUUACUAGCCACUAUUACACUACAAUAAGACCAUUCCGAAAAUGCCGAAAGUUUUCCUCCUAACGCACAAACGAUACAAGACAAGCUAUGCAGAUGAUUUCGGUUUUGAAGAGGCAGAAUAUAUUAAAGAUGCCUGUCCGGAUCUCUCUCCCUUAUCUCCUGUCUUCGAUAGAUUCCAUGAAGUGUUUGAAACCCAACACGACUUAUCACGAAAUGUGGAAUGUGAGAUGUCUGAAUCCGAGAUUGCUAAACGGAGCGACGGCGAAGAAUCAGCUGUUGAAUCGGUCCCUUCACCGCGCCCAUCAGUCAUCCAUUCUUCACCUAGUUACGAGAAUCCAAAUCUUCUUAUGCUCAUACAGAGUGGUCCAAUCGUGAAACCACCUAGUAUUACACUUGCUGAAUAUGAUCAGUCCCUCAGCACGGAGAACAUUCGGGCAUCUAUGACCGACAACAUCCGGGCAUCUCUCAGUGAUGGAAGUUGCAGUGGGGACGAAUUUGAAUGUGUCGAAUGUGGCCGCAGCUAUAGCACCCCAUCUAACUUAGCACGACAUCGACAAACCCAUCGCAGUGUAACCGACAAAAAGGCCAGAAAAUGUCCCCAUUGUGAGAAGGUUUACGUGUCAAUGCCAGCGUACAGUAUGCAUGUGCGCACGCACAAUCAAGGUUGUGAGUGUUCCGUGUGUGGAAAGAAAUUCUCGAGACCGUGGCUGUUACAGGGCCAUCUUCGCACACAUACUGGAGAGAAACCAUUCAAAUGUGCAAAAUGUGGAAAAGCAUUUGCCGACAAAUCAAACCUGCGUGCGCACAUUCAAACUCACUCUUCCGCAAAACCCUUUGUUUGUGGGAGGUGUGGCAAGGCGUUUGCGCUGAAAAGUUAUCUUUACAAACAUGAAGAAUCGUCGUGUAUGAGGGGACUUCGCCAACAUCGACAAUAAUCAAAACGUUAUAUCAUAACAAAUUCCAAAUGUUGUUCAUUCCUGACUUUUUUGAAGAAACAACAUUUCCAUUAGUAAUUGUGACCUGUGUUAGGUCACAGGACUAUAAAAUUUAAAUCUAGGCACUGGACGAAACAAGCGUAAUCUCAGGCUGUUGAACAAAUACAAAUGUGCCAAAUAUGGAACAAGUACUGCUGACUAUGUGCUGAUACAAAAGUGCCAAAUAAGGGAAGUCUGUAAAACACGCGUUGACUGAGUUGACGUGGAAUUGGGAACAAAUACUCCGGUGUAAAAAGUUUUUUUCAAGUUGAUCUCUCUUUUUAUCUCAUUAUGGGUGUAGUGUACAAUUUAAAUUGUCAAAAU